GAUGAAGAACGUAGCGAAAUGCGAUAAGUAAUGUGAAUUGCAGAAUUCAGUGAAUCAUCGAAUCUUUGAACGCACAUUGCGCCCGCCAGUAUUCUGGCGGGCAUGCCUGUCUGAGCGUCAUUUCAACCCUCAUGCCCCUAGGGCGUGGUGUUGGGGAUCGGCCAAAGCCCGCGAGGGACGGCCGGCCCCUAAAUCUAGUGGCGGACCCGUCGUGGCCUCCUCUGCGAAGUAGUGAUAUUCCGCAUCGGAGAGCGAUGAGCCCCUGCCGUUAAACCCCCAACUUUCCAAGGUUGACCUCAGAUCAGGUAGGAAUACCCGCUGAACUUAAGCAUAUCAAAGCGGAGGA
rnacentral:misc_RNA from 1 species